AACCAGAUGGAAAUUCCCAGGAGGACUACAGUAGACAGGAGGAAAAUCAUAAUAAUUUUUUUAAAAAAAUUAAAACUGGAUACAAGACUGGAUAAUCCAACUCUCUGCAGGUGAAUAUGAUUGACAUAUUAGCUUCUAUUAAUACAUUACCAAGUAACUUAGAACAAAUGAUCACCUGGAGGUUUGGUCUACAUCAACGGUAUCCAAAGUGUGGUCAUCAGAAGGACAUCAUCAGUAACACCAAAGCUUUAGUUAAAAGUGCAAAUUUGUGGGUCCCACACAGAUCAUCUGAGUCAGAAUCUCUAGGGAAGAGCCUAUAAAGGUCAGGAAUUUUACCAGGACUUACUGAGGUACUGUGCGAUAUGCUUGAUAUGGAUUAUGAGGACUAGUUCAUGUAGUGCAAGAGAGCUGUAAGUAACACAUGAGUACAAUUCCCAGUUUACAGAUGUGGCAGUUGGAGCUGAAGAAAUCCCAAUGCCUGGUCUAGCUUCACAGAGCGGAUUAGAUGGAGGUGGAUUUGGAUCCCAAGCAAUAUGACUGCAUAACUUCAACAACUUCAACUAUCGUUAGUGGAUUAAAAGUGAUAUUAAAAUGUGUGGGCCUUUUAGCUCGUCUGAAGGCCUGAUAGCUUAACCUCAGAAACAUCUGGAUGCCUAACACUCAUUCUAAGUCAUCUUUAUUUGCGAAAAGUACUUGAACCAGGCUCUGUUCAUACAGGCUGUCUGAGAGAUAUGAACAGUGAUCAUGCCGGAGUGGACACUGACUACUGUAUAAUACGAAGAUUCACAACAGACACCUGACUCAGAGGAGAUGAUCUCAGGAUGUAGCCAGAUUAGCUUAUAUACAGAAAUGUCACAUGAAUACAAGCUUGAAUGUGGAAGGAAGCAACUGAAUUUCCAGAAGAUCUGAGGCAACCUUCAUUCACUUAGACAUUAGUGUCCAAGACUGUCCAUGACCCACAAUAGCUUCAUUUCCCUGCCUCUCCUGCAGAACUGAUGAAUCUUUCUGCUUUAUAAGCUGGUCACACUAUUUUCUAAAUCUUUUAAAUAUGUAAAUUGGUUUUGAUUCACUCAGUUAAUGGCUGUGUCUAAUGUCUCCAUUAACCUGAACUUCUAGACGAGGGUUAGACCAACUACAGCCAGUGGGCCAUUCUAGUCUUCCUGUUUUUGCACAGCUUAUGAGCUAAGAAUGACCUUUACAUUAUGCAAUGGUAGGAGAAAGAAACAAAAGAAAAGAAAAAUAG